UAAUACGUAGGGGGCUAGCGUUGUCCGGAAUCAUUGGGCGUAAAGCGCGUGUAGGCGGUCCGGUAAGUCCGCUGUGAAAGUCGGGGGCUCAACCCUCGGAUGCCGGUGGAUACUGUCGGGCUUGAGUACGGAAGAGGCGAGUGGAAUUCCUGGUGUAGCGGUGAAAUGCGCAGAUAUCAGGAGGAACACCAAUUGCGAAGGCAGCUCGCUGGGACGUUACUGACGCUGAGACGCGAAAGCGUGGGGAGCAAACAGGAUUAGAUACCCUGGUAGUCCACGCCGUAAACGAUGGGCACUAGGUGCCUGGGGGAGCGACCCCCUGGGUGCCGGCGCUAACGCAUUAAGUGCCCCGCCUGGGGAGUACGGCCGCAAGGCUG
rnacentral:rRNA from 1 species